UGGGGAAUUUUGGACAAUGGGCGAAAGCCUGAUCCAGCAAUGCCGCGUGUGUGAAGAAGGCCUUCGGGUUGUAAAGCACUUUUGUCCGGAAAGAAAUCCUCUGGGUUAAUACCUCGGGGGGAUGACGGUACCGGAAGAAUAAGCACCGGCUAACUACGUGCCAGCAGCCGCGGUAAUACGUAGGGUGCAAGCGUUAAUUGGAAUUACUGGGCGUAAAGCGUGCGCAGGCGGUUUUGUAAGACGGAUGUGAAAUCCCCGGGCUUAACCUGGGAACUGCAUUCGUGACUGCAAGGCUAGAGUAUGGCAGAGGGGGGUAGAAUUCCACGUGUAGCAGUGAAAUGCGUAGAGAUGUGGAGGAAUACCGAUGGCGAAGGCAGCCCCCUGGGCCAAUACUGACGCUCAUGCACGAAAGCGUGGGGAGCAAACAGGAUUAGAUACCCUGGUAGUCCACGCCCUAAACGAUGUCAACUAGUUGUUGGGGAUUCAUUUCCUUAGUAACGUAGCUAACGCGUGAAGUUGACCGCCUGGGGGAGUACGGUCG
rnacentral:rRNA from 1 species